GAACGCUGGCGGCAUGCCUUACACAUGCAAGUCGAACGGCAGCGGGGGGAGCUUGCUCCCUGACGGCGAGUGGCGGACGGGUGAGUAACACGUAGGAAUCUACCUUAAUUAUAAUAGUUAGUGGGGGAUAACCCGGGGAAACUCGGGCUAAUACCGCAUAAUCUCUUCAAAGCAAAGCGGGGGAUCUUCGGACCUCGUGCUAUGAGAUGAGCCUGCGUCGGAUUAGCUAGUUGGUAGGGUAAUGGCCUACCAAGGCGACGAUCCGUAGCUGGUCUGAGAGGACGAUCAGCCACACUGAGACUGAGACACGGCC
rnacentral:rRNA from 1 species